rnacentral:rRNA from 1 species
AUCUGGUUCAGGAUGAACGCUAGCUACAGGCUUAACACAUGCAAGUCGAGGGCAGCAGGACGAUAGCUUGCUAUUGUCGCUGGCGACCGGCGCACGGGUGAGUAACGCGUAUCCAACCUUCCCUAUAGUAGAGAAUAGCCCGGCGAAAGUCGGAUUAAUGCUCUAUGUUUUCCAAUGCAGACAUCUAAAAUGGAACAAAGGUUCACCGCUAUAGGAUGGGGAUGCGUCUGAUUAGCUUGUCGGCGGGGUAACGGCCCACCGAGGCAACGAUCAGUAGGGGUUCUGAGAGGAAGGUCCCCCACAUUGGUACUGAGACACGGACCAAACUCCUACGGGAGGCAGCAGUGAGGAAUAUUGGUCAAUGGGCGUAAGCCUGAACCAGCCAAGUAGCGUGCCAGGAAGACUGCCCUAUGGGUUGUAAACUGCUUUUAUGCGGGAAUAAAGUCAGGUACGCGUACCUGUUUGUAUGUACCGCAUGAAUAAGGACCGGCUAAUUCCGUGCCAGCAGCGGC